rnacentral:lncRNA from 1 species
CAGCGGCCCCCGGGGCUGCCUCAGAUUGUUUCAGAAAGAUUGCUUCAACAACAGAAGAUAGAGAUGGGAAGAGAAUGGUGGGGGACGUGGUAGCAAAGAAGCUAUUCCAAUGAUCCAACCUCAAGAUCAUGCAAAUGUGAACUAAAGCAAUGGCAUCAGGAUGGAGCAGAGAAGAUGGACUGGAGAGAGUUUUAGGAGGUAGAAGUGAUACAACUCUGGUGGUGACUGGCUGUAGGGAAAGAGGUCAAUCAUCC